rnacentral:rRNA from 1 species
UACGAAGGGGGCUAGCGUUGCUCGGAAUCACUGGGCGUAAAGGGUGCGUAGGCGGGUCUUUAAGUCAGAGGUGAAAUCCUGGAGCUCAACUCCAGAACUGCCUUUGAUACUGAGGAUCUUGAGUAUGGGAGAGGUGAGUGGAACUGCGAGUGUAGAGGUGAAAUUCGUAGAUAUUCGCAAGAACACCAGUGGCGAAGGCGGCUCACUGGCCCAUUACUGACGCUGAGGCACGAAAGCGUGUGGAGCAAACAGG